rnacentral:miRNA from 1 species
AGGACUGAGUGGACUGCCU